UACGAAGGGGGCUAGCGUUGUUCGGAAUCACUGGGCGUAAAGCGCACGUAGGCGGAUCUUUAAGUCGGAGGUGAAAUCCCAAGGCUCAACCUUGGAACUGCCUUUGAUACUGGGGAUCUUGAGUCCGGGAGAGGUGAGUGGAACUGCGAGUGUAGAGGUGAAAUUCGUAGAUAUUCGCAAGAACACCAGUGGCGAAGGCGGCUCACUGGCCCGGUACUGACGCUGAGGUGCGAAAGCGUGGGGAGCAAACAGG
rnacentral:rRNA from 1 species